rnacentral:rRNA from 1 species
GACGAACGCUGGCGGCGUGCCUAAUACAUGCAAGUUGAGCGAUGAAGAUUGGUGCUUGCACCAAUUUGAAGAGCAGCGAACGGGUGAGUAACGCGUGGGGAAUCUGCCUUUGAGCGGGGGACAACAUUUGGAAACGAAUGCUAAUACCGCAUAACAACUUUAAACAUAAGUUUUAAGUUUGAAAGAUGCAAUUGCAUCACUCAAAGAUGAUCCCGCGUUGUAUUAGCUAGUUGGUGAGGUAAAGGCUCACCAAGGCGAUGAUACAUAGCCGACCUGAGAGGGUGAUCGGCCACAUUGGGACUGAGACACGGCCCAAACUCCUACGGGAGGCAGCAGAAGGGAAUCUUCGGCAAUGGACGAAAGUCUGACCGAGCAACGCCGCGUGAGUGAAGAAGGUUUUCGGAUCGUAAAACUCUGUUGGUAGAGAAGAACGUUGGUGAGAGUGGAAAGCUCAUCAAGUGACGGUAACUACCCAGAAAGGGACGGCUAACUACGUG